rnacentral:misc_RNA from 1 species
UUGAACUCGGUACUCAAAAGAGCUCACUUGUUUGUAUAGUCUUCCAUACAUGUUUCUUUGAUUAGCUCUAAUGGUUCUCUCUGCUUCUGUUGCUUCAUUAAUCUUCUUAGUUGAGUAGUUGAAACUUGAAUUAUUUCUUUCUGAUUGUAAAGUAUGCUGCUGUAAAAGACCAUCCAUUUGUUUUUUUGAACCACAACAUAAUUUAUUUCAA